UAAUACGGAGGGUGCAAGCGUUAAUCGGAAUUACUGGGCGUAAAGCGCACGCAGGCGGUUUGUUAAGUCAGAUGUGAAAUCCCCGGGCUCAACCUGGGAACUGCAUUUGAAACUGGCAAGCUAGAGUCUCGUAGAGGGGGGUAGAAUUCCAGGUGUAGCGGUGAAAUGCGUAGAGAUCUGGAGGAAUACCGGUGGCGAAGGCGGCCCCCUGGACGAAGACUGACGCUCAGGUGCGAAAGCGUGGGGAGCAAACAGGAUUAGAUACCCUGGUAGUCCACGCUGUAAACGAUGUCGAUUUGGAGGUUGUGCCCUUGAGGCGUGGCUUCCGGAGCUAACGCGUUAAAUCGACCGCCGUGGGAGUACGGCCGCAAGGUUA
rnacentral:rRNA from 1 species